GACGAACGCUGGCGGCGUGCCUAAUACAUGCAAGUAGAACGCUGAAGCUUGGUGCUUGCACCGAGCGGAUGAGUUGCGAACGGGUGAGUAACGCGUAGGUAACCUGCCUGGUAGCGGGGGAUAACUAUUGGAAACGAUAGCUAAUACCGCAUAACAGUAGAUAUCGCAUGAUAUGUGCUUGAAAGGUGCAAUUGCAUCACUACCAGAUGGACCUGCGUUGUAUUAGCUAGUUGGUGAGGUAACGGCUCACCAAGGCAACGAUACAUAGCCGACCUGAGAGGGUGAUCGGCCACACUGGGACUGAGACACGGCCCAGACUCCUACGGGAGGCAGCAGUAGGGAAUCUUCGGCAAUGGACGGAAGUCUGACCGAGCAACGCCGCGUGAGUGAAGAAGGUUUUCGGAUCGUAAAGCUCUGUUGUAAGAGAAGAACGAGUGUGAGAGUGGAAAGUUCACACUGUGACGGUGUCUUACCAGAAAGGGACGGCUAACUACGUGCCAGCAGCCGCGGUAAUACGUAGGUCCCGAGCGUUGUCCGGAUUUAUUGGGCGUAAAGCGAGCGCAGGCGGUUAGAUAAGUCUGAAGUUAAAGGCUGUGGCUUAACCAUAGUACGCUUUGGAAACUGUUUAACUUGAGUGCAAGAGGGGAGAGUGGAAUUCCAUGUGUAGCGGUGAAAUGCGUAGAUAUAUGGAGGAACACCGGUGGCGAAAGCGGCUCUCUGGCUUGUAACUGACGCUGAGGCUCGAAAGCGUGGGGAGCAAACAGG
rnacentral:rRNA from 1 species